rnacentral:rRNA from 1 species
AUUGAACGCUAGCGGGAUGCUUUACACAUGCAAGUCGAACGAGUGGCGGACGGGUGAGUAAUAUAUCGGAACGUGCCCAGUAGCGGGGGAUAACUAGUUGAAAGAGUGGCCUAUACCGCACACUCUUGGAGUGGCCGAUAUCGGAUUGGCUGGUGGGGGGGGUAAAGGCUCACCAAGGCAACGAUCCGUAGCUGGUUUGAGAGGACGACCAGCCACACUGGGACUGAGACACGGCCCAGACUCCUACGGAAGGCAGCAGUGGGGAAUUUUGGACAAUGGGGGAAACCCUAAUCCAGCCAUCCCGCGUGUUUGAGAAGGCCUUCGGGUUUUAAAGUACUUUUGGCAGAGAGGCGGUAUCUGCAGAAUAAGCACCGGCUAACUACGUGCCAGCAGCCGCGGUAAUUC